UACGAAGGGGGCUAGCGUUGCUCGGAAUUACUGGGCGUAAAGGGUGCGCAGGCGGCAGAGCAAGUCGAGUGUGAAAGCCCCGGGCUUAACUUGGGAAUUGCGCUCGAAACUGCUUUGCUGGAGUGUGGCAGAGGAAGGUGGAAUUCCACGUGUAGCGGUGAAAUGCGUAGAGAUGUGGAGGAGCACCAAUGGCGAAGGCAGCCUUCUGGGCCAACACUGACGCUCAUGCACGAAAGCGUGGGGAGCAAACAGG
rnacentral:rRNA from 1 species